CACGUGGGGAACCUGCCCCAUAGUCUGGGAUACCACUUGGAAACAGGCGCUAAUACCGGAUAAGAAAGCGGAUCGCAUGAUCAGCUUUUAAAAGGCGGCGUAAGCUGUCGCUAUGGGAUGGCCCCGCGGUGCAUUAGCUAGUUGGUAAGGUAAAGGCUUACCAAGGCGAUGAUGCAUAGCCGAGUUGAGAGACUGAUCGGCCACAUUGGGACUGAGACACGGCCCAAACUCCUACGGGAGGCAGCAGAU
rnacentral:rRNA from 1 species